UUAGCUACAGGCUUAACACAUGCAAGUCGAGGGGCAGCAUGGUCUUAGCUUGCUAAGGCCGAUGGCGACCGGCGCACGGGUGAGUAACACGUAUCCAACCUGCCGUCUACUCUUGGACAGCCUUCUGAAAGGAAGAUUAAUACAAGAUGGCAUCAUGAGUCCGCAUGUUCACAUGAUUAAAGGUAUUCCGGUAGACGAUGGGGAUGCGUUCCAUUAGAUAGUAGGCGGGGUAACGGCCCACCUAGUCUUCGAUGGAUAGGGGUUCUGAGAGGAAGGUCCCCCACAUUGGAACUGAGACACGGUCCAAACUCCUACGGGAGGCAGCAGUGAGGAAUAUUGGUCAAUGGGCGAGAGCCUGAACCAGCCAAGUAGCGUGAAGGAUGACUGCCCUAUGGGUUGUAAACUUCUUUUAUAAAGGAAUAAAGUCGGGUAUGGAUACCCGUUUGCAUGUACUUUAUGAAUAAGGAUCGGCUAACUCCGUGCCAGCAGCCGCGGUAAUACGGAGGAUCCGAGCGUUAUCCGGAUUUAUUGGGUUUAAAGGGAGCGUAGAUGAAUGUUUAAGUCAGUUGUGAAAGUUUGCGGCUCAACCGUAAAAUUGCAGUUGAUACUGGAUAUCUUGAGUGCAGUUGAGGCAGGCGGAAUUCGUGGUGUAGCGGUGAAAUGCUUAGAUAUCACGAAGAACUCCGAUUGCGAAGGCAGCCUGCUAAGCUGCAACUGACAUUGAGGCUCGAAAGUGUGGGUAUCAAACAGGAUUAGAUACCCUGGUAGUCCACACGGUAAACGAUGAAUACUCGCUGUUUGCGAUAUACAGCAAGCGGCCAAGCGAAAGCGUUAAGUAUUCCACCUGGGGAGUACGCCGGCAACGGUGAAACUCAAAGGAAUUGACGGGGGCCCGCACAAGCGGAGGAACAUGUGGUUUAAUUCGAUGAUACGCGAGGAACCUUACCCGGGCUUAAAUUGCAGAUGAAUUACGGUGAAAGCCGUAAGCCGCAAGGCAUCUGUGAAGGUGCUGCAUGGUUGUCGUCAGCUCGUGCCGUGAGGUGUCGGCUUAAGUGCCAUAACGAGCGCAACCCUUGUUGUCAGUUACUAACAGGUUCCGCUGAGGACUCUGACAAGACUGCCAUCGUAAGAUGUGAGGAAGGUGGGGAUGACGUCAAAUCAGCACGGCCCUUACGUCCGGGGCUACACACGUGUUACAAUGGGGGGUACAGAGGGCCGCUACCACGCGAGUGGAUGCCAAUCCCAAAAACCUCUCUCAGUUCGGACUGGAGUCUGCAACCCGACUCCACAAAGCUGGAUUCGCUAGUAAUCGCGCAUCAGCCACGGCGCGGUGAAUACGUUCCCGGGCCUUGUACACACCGCCCGUCAAGCCAUGGGAGCCGGGGGUACCUGAAGUGCGUAACCGCGAGGAGCGCCCUAGGGUAAAACUGGUGACUGG
rnacentral:rRNA from 1 species